rnacentral:lncRNA from 1 species
AGGCUAUGACUCAAAUAAUCAUCACCAAUUUUUUCACGCAAAGCAUUCUUCACAAUAUUCAUAGCUGGAAAACCUAUUUUGUCCACCAUCAGUUUAGCAAUCACCUAUUUUGUCCAACCUAGGAAACCUUCUUUCAUGGAUUAUAUUAUUUAUGUAGAGACCAAGUUCAUUUUCAAGAGUAUCAUAUCUCUGUGAUUAAAAUCAUCAAGAUAAAGCUUAGCUAAUUCCAGCAACUUCUCCUUGUCAAAACAACAAAGUAAAUCACUCGUGCUCAAAGCAGACCCAUUGGUGGCGGCAGCCCCUGGGUUGUGGUGUUGCCAUCUCUUUAUUUCCUUGUCAAAUACUUCUCCAUUAUCUUGCUUCUUCAUUAAUUUUGUACAUAAUUUUGUAGGGGAAGAUGAUUCGUCCUAUGUUAUCUUUGAGGAUGACGCUAUGGAUGAUCACAUCGCCAAUGGCAACACUCGAGUUUGCAAUAUGAUGGUGAGAACAUGAUGAUAACAAGUAUGCAUCCGGAGGAGGAUCUCACUAGUCCAUUUGCACUUCAACUAAUGAGCGACAAUCUUAUGGCAUUUUGUUGCAGCAACUGUCAUAUGGAAUAUGAUGGAUGAGAAAUAGUAAAAUGAUGCGUAUAUAUGUGAUGCUGCUGAUCAUGAACCUAGGUGAACUUAGAAAUGUGUGUUGUGUUGUCAUUGCCCUGUGCAAUGUGAUGGAUCAGAA